CCUUAACAGCAAUGAAGUGUAUACCUCAAAAGACGUGACUACAGCAAUAAACAUCAAUAUGUGGAUAAACUGACGCAGAACGCAAACUCACUAGACAUGUCUCCGAAUAAAAAUUUCAACAACGAAACUGUCAGUCAUGACAAUAGUAACGACCAUGUGCCUACAAAUGUUUAUGAUAGAUAAAGAUGAAAACUGGCAACGGAAAUCCUCUAAGUUCUGUUAAUUUGGCAUAUAGAUGAAGGUAUCUACCAGAAGUCUGGAAAUAGUAUUAUGUAAUAUUUACUGAUAUUACAUAUUUAACCAUUCUAAAUGAAAUAUUCUCACACGAAAUCAGUCUUUAAGUAAGAAAAUAUUGUCAAUUACUCCAUGAAAUUCCUUGCUAAUAUCCAAUUAUUGUAAGCCCACGAAAUUACUUUUGCUGCUUAAUAAAGAGUCAUUUCCUCUUGUAAGACGAUUUCAUCUCAUUUGCUGAAGUAUUCAAAAUAUUGCAUUAAUGUACGGAUGACAGUAUAUGUAAGACGUAAGUUUGGUGCAAGUCUUCCAAAAUCAUUGUUUUUAAGAAAUUACAAGAUAUAUCAAAAUGUAUAUUUGGAUAUUUGUAUGAACUGUUUACGAUGUUUAAAUGUUAGUGUUUUUUUCCCAGCAGAAUAUAUUUCUGUUCCCUAUCUAUGAAAAAUACUGUUUUGUGGCAUCAGAGUCCCCUUUGUAUGAUCAUUUGAAACAAAUUGAUAAAGAGUUAAGACUAAACUUGCUUUGGACCUUUAAUUGAAAUUAAAAUUCAAUCAGAAAUAAUGUUGCUAAAGUGAUAUGACUGGUUUAUGUGAUGUCUAUGUAUUUUCUACAAAAAUUAGUAUGACACAAGUGUAAUAACACUUUAACGUUGACGUCGUUGAAUUUUUCAAAUUAAGUCUGCCUAUAAUUGUUAAAGAAAGAGGAGAAAUGUUAAAAACUUUAUGUUUAAUCGGGAAAAAAUAACAUGUUACAAAACGAAUGUCACACUUGUGCCUUACCACAUUGAAUUAAGCUCAUUGAAUGAAAGGGCUAAAUGAUUUUCAGAGCCUUGCGUUUUUACAGUUCGUUUUUCGAUAUGAAAACACACUCAGCUUAAAUGUGAACUAAUUUUUGUUUGUCCUAAAUGUCACUUUCUCUGUACAGUAAUAAGACGUUUCCCCGGCAGGAAGGCUCUUAUUAAUACAAAAAAAGGAUAAGAGUAGUAUAUUACCCACUUCCGCUCUGUCAAUGUAAUAAAAAGCAGUAUAUAUUUACCACUUCCGCUUUGUCUGUAGAAUAAAUUUCUUUAUUUUAUGCUAACUAAUGAAAUACUGUAUUCUAUCAGUUAAAUAUUUUUAUAUCUCAUCAUUCACACUGUGAAAAUAUGAAAUUUAUAUUUUCACACUGUUAGAGAUACAGCUCCGCCCCCUCAUACAUUGUGUAUGAAUUUUAAAUUAUUUGCUUAAAACAGGAUGAAAAUUGUAGUCGCACUUUGUUCUUUAUAGUAUAUUUCUCGAUUCAAAUUCUUUUACUUAAUGAGAAUUGCAUAACGUUAUGCAGCAAAAAAAAAUAAAAUAAAAUGGAACUUUAUGUUGUGUGCGUCUUUCUAACGUCACAACACGUCUGACGUCAUGUCUGUUUACGAGCGUCUGUUUCCCGCGCUGAAAUUAAAAAUUGUUGCAAAAUGCACAUCUCAACGUAAUUGAGCAUAUUAAGAUAAAAAGAAAAUUUGUUUGUUUUUCGUGAAUAUGGAAUAUACCUCACCUCAAAGUGAGAAAAUGUUCACAUUUUCACUCGCGCUACGCGCUCGUGGAAGUAUUUUGAAUUUUCUCACUUCUCAGUGAGAUAUAUUCCAUAUUCACUAAAAAAAAACCCAA